rnacentral:rRNA from 1 species
UACGUAGGCAGCAAGCGUUGUUCGGAGUUACUGGGCGUAAAGGGUGCGUAGGCGGCUUCUUAAGUCUGGUGUGAAAUCUCCCGGCUCAACUGGGAGGGUGCGCCGGAUACUGAGGGGCUAGAGUGUGGGAGAGGAAAGUGGAAUUCCUGGUGUAGCGGUGAAAUGCGUAGAUAUCAGGAGGAACACCGGUGGUGUAAACGGCUUUCUGGACCAUAACUGGCGCUGAGGCACGAAAGCGUGGGUAGCAAACAGG